UUUUUUUUCUUUUUGCAGAUACAUUUAGGAAUAAUUGUUUUCCUGCCUUUACCAAACGAAUUUUUCCUUCAGCAGUUCAACCUACUGGUACAGUGUCACAGUGGAUUCGCUUUCUAAGUUUUGAAGGACUGUUGUGGAGAGAAAACUGAGAUCCAUUUCGAUGCUACUAAGAAAACAACUUCUAGCUGUGAAUGUAAACUAUAAGUACAUUUUAAUAUGAGAGUAAAUGUGGGAAAAGGAGUUUUCAUUAAAAGUGGUAAUUGAUUACUUUUUCUUGUUCGUUUUUGUAGAUUGUCCAUGAAAAGGAAUUCAGUUAAUUUUCGAUGCUAAUGGAGCAACUGAUGCUUUUGAUGUAAGGGAGAGAACUGGAAAUUAAUUUGGAAACCACCCAAGCAACAGAUUGUCUGCAGUGGUACUCUCCUAGAUUUGGCUUGCGCAUUCCACAUUCGACCGCUACUUCACUUAAGAUUAUCUAAGAAAAGAGAGACUUAAAGUCAGCUUGGUCAUACUGAAACAAGCAUUGUCUAGAUGGGCUUCAUCUUUCCUGGACUAUAUUCUUGUUUUGCUACUUUGUCCUCACCUUGAACCAUUAUGCAGUCAAUUUUCAACCGACGAGUGAGAGCAACUGGAGGUUUCUUUGAGUUCUUU
rnacentral:lncRNA from 1 species